GGAAGUAAAAAGUCGUAACAAGGUUUCCGUAGGUGAACCUGCGGAAGGAUCAUUAUUGGAAUGAAAUCUCUAGCAACAGGCUGUUGCUGACAUCGUGCACGCCUGUUGUUUUUGUUUCUUCCUUCAUCACCUGUGCACUGCUUUGUAGACUUUGAGUGUCUAUGAUACUUUCAUCACACGCAUAUAUAUUCUGAAUGCUAUAAAUAAUAUUGAACAACUUUCAACAAUGGAUCUCUUGGCUCUUGCAUCGAUGAAGAACGCAGCGAAAUGCGAUAAGUAAUGUGAAUUGCAGAAUUCAGUGAAUCAUCGAAUCUUUGAACGCAUCUUGCGCUCCUUGGUAUUCCGAGGAGCAUGCCUGUUUGAGUGUCAUUUAAUAUCUCUCAAAAUGCAUCACUGUGUGCAUUUUGGAUUUUUGGGAGUUUAUAAACUGCUGGCUAGUUGAAGUCAGCUCUCCUUAAAAGUAUUUAGUGGUCUUCUCUUCUACUUUCCAUUGGUGUGAUAAAUCUAUCUAUGCCAAAGAAAGUAAAAGCAAUAGUCUGCUAUCUAAUGUUUGCCUAUCCGAUUGACCUCAAAUCAGGUAGGACUACCCGCUGAACUUAAGCAUAUCAAUAAGUCGGAGGA
rnacentral:rRNA from 1 species